UACGUAGGUGCCAAGCGUUGUCCGGAUUUACUGGGCGUAAAGAGCGCGCAGGCGGUCGUUCAAGUCGAGUGUGAAAGCCCCCGGCUCAACUGGGGAGGGUCAUUCGAUACUGAUCGACUCGAAGGCAGGAGAGGGAAGUGGAAUUCCCGGUGUAGUGGUGAAAUGCGUAGAUAUCGGGAGGAACACCAGUGGCGAAGGCGACUUCCUGGCCUGUUCUUGACGCUGAGGCGCGAAAGCUAGGGGAGCAAACGGG
rnacentral:rRNA from 1 species